CCCCAGACUCCUACGGGAGGCAGCAGUGGGGGAUAUUGCACAAUGGGGGGAACCCUGAUGCAGCGACGCCGCGUGGGUGAAGGAGCGUUUCGGCGCGUAAAGCCCUAUCGGCAGGGAAGAAGGAGGACGGUACCUGACUAAGAAGCCCCGGCUAACUACGUGCCAGCAGCCGCGGGAAUACGUAGGGGGCAAGCGUUAUCCGGAUUUACUGGGUGUAAAGGGAGCGUAGACGGCGAUGCAAGUCUGAAGUGAAAGGCGGGGGCCCAACCCCCGGACUGCUUUGGAAACUGUAUAGCUGGAGUGCAGGAGAGGUAAGUGGGAUUCCUAGUGUAGCGGUGAAAUGCGUAGAUAUUAGGAGGAACACCGGCGGCGAAGGCGGCCUGCUGGACCGUAACUGACGUUGAGGCUCGAAAGCGUGGGGAGCAAACAGGAUUAGAUACCCGAGUAC
rnacentral:rRNA from 1 species